rnacentral:rRNA from 1 species
AGCGAACGCUGGCGGCAGGCUUAACACAUGCAAGUCGAACGGGCUUCUUCGGAAGUCAGUGGCAGACGGGUGAGUAACACGGGGGAACGUGCCCUUCGGUUCGGAAUAACUCAGGGAAACUUGAGCUAAUACCGGAUACGCCCUUUUGGGGAAAGGUUUACUGCCGAAGGAUCGGCCCGCGUCUGAUUAGCUUGUUGGUGGGGUAACGGCCUACCAAGGCGACGAUCAGUAGCUGGUCUGAGAGGAUGAUCAGCCACACUGGGACUGGGACACGGCCCAGACUCCUACGGGAUGCAGCAGUGGGGAAUAUUGGACAAUGGGCGCAAGCCUGAUCCAGCCAUGCCGCGUGAGUGAUGAAGGCCUUAGGGUUGUAAAGCUCUUUUGUCCGGGACGAUAAUGACGGUACCGGAAGAAUAAGCCCCGGCUAACUUCGUG